CGCAGCCGCGGUAAUUCCAGCUCCAAUAGCGUAUAUUAAAGUUGUUGCAGUUAAAAAGCUCGUAGUUGAAUUUCGGGAUUGACACAUCGGUCGUGCCUUAAGGGGUAUGAACUGGUGUAGUCAAUUUCUCACCUUCUGGAGAACCGCGAUGCCCUUAAUUGGGUGUCACGGGGAACCAGGACCUUUACUUUGAAAAAAUUAGAGUGUUUAAAGCAGGCAUUUUGCUUGAAUACAUUAGCAUGGAAUAAUAAAAUAGGACGGCAUGAUUCUAUUUUGUUGGUUUCUAGGAUCACCGUAAUGAUUAAUAGGGAUAGUUGGGGGCAUUAGUAUUCAAUUGUCAGAGGUGAAAUUCUUGGAUUUAUUGAAGACUAACUACUGCGAAAGCAUUUGCCAAGGAUGUUUUCAUUAAUCAAGAACGAAAGUUAGGGGAUCGAAGACGAUCAGAUACCGUCGUAGUCUUAACCAUAAACUAUGCCGACUAGGAAUCAGACGAUGUUAAUUUUUUAAUGACUCGUUUGGCACCUUACG
rnacentral:misc_RNA from 1 species